rnacentral:rRNA from 1 species
UACGUAGGCAGCAAGCGUUGUUCGGAGUUACUGGGCGUAAAGAGUGUGUAGGCGGGUCGUUAAGUGUCCGAGUGAAAUCCCACGGCUCAACCGUGGAACUGCCGGGCAUACUGGCGAUCUUGAGGCAUUCAGGGGCGAGCGGAACAAAUGGUGGAGCGGUGAAAUGCGUAGAUAUCAUUUGGAACGCCAAUGGUGAAAACAGCUCGCUGGGAAUGAUCUGACGCUGAGACGCGAAAGCCAGGGGAGCGAACGGG